rnacentral:misc_RNA from 1 species
UUUUAAAUUAGAUCGAAUUAACUUAGUUUGGUUGAAUUUUUUAAUUCAGACCAAAAUCUACCCACCCUUGGCUCCAUGCACUGCACGCUGAUCCAAUAAAAUAGAAUUAACACUCUAUACUAGAUGAAGAAAAACAUAAAUAAACCUCCAAAACAAGGACAUAAACCACGAACAACAUAUAAGAAAACACAUAAAAAAAAUAAAAAUUAUUUUGAGAAAAAACAGAAAAACUAAAAGAAAGUAAGAAAAAUCAAACAAGAAAAUAAAAACACUAAAAAAAUAAAGAAAAGAUUAACAAAAUGGAAGAGGGAAGUGCUGCUGGCCAAAAAUUUGUUGCAAGCUGUCACGACCCAACCUAUGGG